rnacentral:lncRNA from 1 species
UGCUGACCUCACCAGCGUGGUUUCUUCUGUUGUGUGUGUGUUUUUGUUUUGCUGUGAUGCCGAUGACUUGCGGUUUGCCUCACACUUUGUAGUGUGCGUGGCAGUCGUAUAAGAAAACAGCAAAUUUGUCAGUUAGGCUUGUUAUUUAUUACAGGAACCAUGGGGAUGCCAGGCAGCCAGGCUGGCCCCUCCGCCCGCCACCUACCCCACGGUUGAAGGGGCUGCACUGGCCGGGGAUGCCAGACCAAGGGCCCAGAGAAGAGGCACGGCUUCCGAGGGUGAGGAACAGCGAGGUCCUGGCAGCUGCCUCUCUUCGAACACAAUGUUGAGGAGAUGCUUUUUGUUUUUGUUUUUAAAAUUCAUUUCCAUUGGUUUUUGGGGAACAGGUGGGGUUUGAUUACGUAAGUUCUUUGGUGGUGAUUUGUGAGAUUUUGGCGCACCCAUCACCCGAGCAGUAUCCACUGCACCUAAUUCGUAGUCAUUUAUCCCUCACCCUCUUCCCACCCUUCCCCACCGAGUCCCCAGAGUCCACUGUAUCCUUCUCAAGCCUUUGCAUGGGAGGAUGCUUUUAACUGGUAAAAGGCAAUAGUAGAAGUAACAGCCCGAGGGCUCUCCGUGGCCAGUGCCUCCCGAGAUCUCGAGGGCACCCCUUCUCCCGCCUCCCCUCCCACCUCCACCUAGGCCACACGGGCCAUGCCGGCCCCAGAGCUCCCGUGCCACGGGCAAAACACAGCUGUGUCUCAAAACCCUACGCCCAAAGUGCCUUCUCCCAGGCUUCCUUCCAGCUCAUCCGCCACCUUUCUCUGCACUUGGCCCAGACGUCGUCUUUCAAGUCCGGCCUCCCCUAGACCUCGGCUUCUAAAAUUGCAAAGCACCCGCACUCCAACAGGCCUCCGUGCCUGGCUCUCCUCUACACCUUCGUCCCCACCUGCGUUACUGAUCUCUGUGACUUACUGGCUUCUUCCCCCGAGGAGGGCAUGAGCUGCACGACAAUGGCUUUGUAUCUGUGAGAAGCUCUAAUCGUAUUUGCUGUUUAUUGUGGGCUGGGUUGCAUCCCCCCAAACUCACACGUCGAAGUCCAACCCCCAGGAUGUCAUAAUGUGACUGUGUUUGGAGAUAGGGCAUUUAUGGAGGUAAUUAAGGUAGAAUGAGGUCACCAGCAUGGGAGCUAAUCCAGUAGGACUGGUGUCUCCGUAAUAAGAGGAGAUGAGGACACAGACACGCACGGAGGGCGACCUUGUGAGGACACAGAGAGAAGACAGCUCUUACAAGCCAAAAAGAGAGGGCUUGGAGGAAGCAGUCCUGCCGGCACCUUGAUCUCAGACUUCCGGCUUCCAGAACUGUUAGAAAAUAAAUCUCUGUCAUUUAAGCCACCCGGUCUGUGGCACUUUAUGUUCAAUAAAUACCUAUCAGAUGAAUAAAUGAAUCAAUGAGCCAGGUGUGGUGGUCCACGCUUGUAAUCCAAGCACUUUGGGAGGCUGAGGUGGGCGGAUUACCUGAGGUCAGGAGUUCGAGACCAGCCUGGCCAACUUGGGGAAACCCCCACCUCUACUAAAAAUACAAAAAUCAGCUGGAUGUAGUGGCGAGAGCCUGUAAUCCCAGCUACUCAGGAGGCUGAGGCAGGAGAAUUGCUUGAACCUGGGACGCAGAGGUUGCAGUGAGCUGAGAUUGUGCCACUGUACUCCAGCCUGAACAACAGAGUGAGACUGUCAAAAAGAGAGAGAGAGAAAGAAAGAUUGAGAGAAGAAAGAUAGAAAGAAAGGAAAGAAAGAAAGGUAAAGAGAAAGAAAAGAAAGAGAGAAAGAGAAAGAAAGAAGAGAGAGAGGAAGGAAGGAAGGAAGAAAGGAAGGAAGGAAACUAGAACUUAUCAGACACUUCACAAGUGGGGAACCGUUCCUAGCUGAGGCUUGGUGGACUUGGGAGGAUAUUAGUAAUGCAGAUGUUUUGCUCCUAAGACUCCAAGACUGUUUUGCUCCUUCAUUCUUUGCACACAAUUCCGUGGCCAUUCUACUCAUUUUUUUGAGGAUAAAUGAUCUCAGUGGUGAAAUAUUGUCAUGGGUGAGCAGCGACUAUCUGGGGCCAGCGGCUCAGGGUAAAGACAAUUGUAGGUUAAGAAAGGCAGAUUUAGGCCAGGUGCAGUGGCUCAUGCCUGUAAUCCCAACACUUUGGGAGGCCGAGGCAGGCGGAUCAGGAGGUCCUUGAGGUAAGGCCAUCCUGGCCAACAUGGUGAAAACCCGUCUCUACGAAAAAUACAAAAAUUAGAUGGACGUGGUGAAACGCACCUGUAGUCCCAGCUACUUGGGAGGCUGAGGCAAAAUUUCAUCUCAAAAAUAAAAAAAAAAGGCAAAUUAGAGAAAGUAGGAAAAUACACAGCAAGGAGGCAACAGGCAGGCCAGCAAGAGAGGAGCUGACUGCAAGGAGACAAAGGCUUGCUGGGGACUUGAUAGGAUGGUGCUUGUGCUGUGUGCUGGAGAGAGCGACGUGCAGUACUGACAACACCGAGGCCGCGGUGUGCUGGAGAGAGCGACGUGCAGUGCUGACGACGCCGAGGCCGCGGUGUGCUGGAGAGAGCGACGUGCAGUGCUGAUGACGCUGAGGCUGCAGUGUGCUAACUUGCAUUUUUCUAUCAGCCAAGGGUCUAAUGACAGCUGGACACAGGAAGAUUGUGAGUUACUUGUGCAGCAGGACUACGUGUUCUGGAUCACGAAGACAGGCAGACUUGGAGCUUCUCUGCCUUCUCUUUUUGCUUUCCCUGGGUCCUGCCAGCCUGACUCCUCAUUCCUAAUUAGGACUCCGGGAAUCUCAACCAGCCAUCAAGUGUUAGAUUCUGAGCACCUGUGCAGGGCUGCAGGUGACAGUCGAUAAUGAGGCUCAUCUUCCUCACCGCCGUGUCUUUCUAACCGUUUGGCCUUCUUCUGAUGGUGGCUGCAACCUCAUCAAUGGCCAGCAUGGAACUAACCCAUUGGGUUAUGUUUUCAUUCCUGUUUUUCUUUACUUUGCUUAAGCAGGAAGUGCAACUGGAUCGGGGAGCCUCUCCGGGGCUCUUUUUAAUUCAUCUCUGCGAUUCUUCAAAUGGUAGGUUGUUAAACCAUGAAGCCAACAGACACCUGGCUGCUUACUGGAUUCAAGGCACUGGGAUGCUUCACUGAAAAUGCCAGUUCAGGGCCCCUCCUCUCCAGGAGCCAAAAUUCUGGAGUGGGGCUGGGAGACCAGAAAGAAACAAAUUAAACCAGCACUCACCGCUAAAAACAAGCAUUGCAAGCAGUAGUGCAAUUAGAUCAAAACACACAAAUCAAAGAUGGCUCAAGGGCUUUCCAGUGUUGAGAAGGGCUG